rnacentral:rRNA from 1 species
AUUGAACGCUGGCGGCAUGCCUUACACAUGCAAGUCGAACGGUAACAGGUCUUCGGAUGCUGACGAGUGGCGAACGGGCGAGUAAUACAUCGGAACGUGCCUAGUAGUGGGGGAUAACUACUCGAAAGAGUGGCUAAUACCGCAUGAGAUCUACGGAUGAAAGCAGGGGAUCGCAAGACCUUGUGCUACUAGAGCGGCCGAUGGCAGAUUAGGUAGUUGGUGGGAUAAAAGCUUACCAAGCCGACGAUCUGUAGCUGGUCUGAGAGGACGAUCAGCCACCCUGGGACUGAGACACGGCCCAGACUCCUCCGGGAGGCAGCAGUGGGGAAUUUUGGACAAUGGGCGAAAGCCUGAUCCAGCAAUGCCGCGUGCAGGAUGAAGGCCUUCGGGUUGUAAACUGCUUUUGUACGGAACGGAAAGCCCUGGGUUAAUACCCUGGGGUCAUGACGGUACCGUAAGAAUAAGCACCGGCUAACUACGUGCCAGCCGCCGCCGUAA